UACAGAGACGUGCAAGCGUUAUUUCGGAUUCACUGGGCGUAAAGGGGCGCGUAGGCGGCGUGACAAGUCACUUGUGAAAUCUCCGGGCUUAACUCGGAACGGUCAAGUGAUACUGUCGUGCUAGAGUACAGAAGGGGCAACUGGAAUUCUCGGUGUAGCGGUGAAAUUCGUAGAUAUUGGGAAGAACACCGGUGGCGAAGGCGGCGACCUGGGUCCUUG
rnacentral:rRNA from 1 species